CUAUGUGUUGUUGGGUAGGGGAGCGUUCUGUAAGCCGUUGAAGGUGGCCUGUGAGGGUUGCUGGAGGUAUCAGAAGUGCGAAUGCUGACAUAAGUAACGAUAAUGCGGGUGAAAAACCCGCACGCCGGAAGACCAAGGGUUCCUGUCCAACGUUAAUCGGGGCAGGGUGAGUCGACCCCUAAGGCGAGGCCGAAAGGCGUAGUCGAUGGGAAACAGGUUAAUAUUCCUGUACUUGGUGUUACUGCGAAGGGGGGACGGAGAAGGCUAUGUUGGCCGGGCGACGGUUGUCCCGGUUUAAGCAUGUAGGCGGAUG
rnacentral:rRNA from 1 species